AUUGAACGCUGGCGGCAGGCUUAACACAUGCAAGUCGAGCGGGGUGAUGGUGCUUGCACUAUCACUUAGCGGCGGACGGGUGAGUAAUGCUUAGGAAUCUGCCUAUUAGUGGGGGACAACAUUCCGAAAGGAAUGCUAAUACCGCAUACGUCCUACGGGAGAAAGCAGGGGAUCUUCGGACAUUGCGCUAAUAGAUGAGCCUAAGUCGGAUUAGCUAGUUGGUGGGGUAAAGGCCUACCAAGGCGACGAUCUGUAGCGGGUCUGAGAGGAUGAUCCGCCACACUGGGACUGAGACACGGCCCAGACUCCUACGGGAGGCAGCAGUGGGGAAUAUUGGACAAUGGGGGGAACGCUGAUCCAGCCAUGCCGCGUGUGUGAAGAAGGCCUUAUGGUUGUAAAGCACUUUAAGCGAGGAGGAGGCUACUGAGACUAAUACUCUUGGAUAGUGGACGUUACUCGCAGAAUAAGCACCGGCUAACUCUGUGCCAGCCGCCGCAGUAA
rnacentral:rRNA from 1 species